AAGGGACUGCUUCGUUGCUUCGUGAUCCGGAGUGAAGUGCACCUCUUGCCGAGUGAAGGGGGGCGAAGCUUGGAAGAGGAGGGAAGGGACUGCUCCAUUGCUUCGUGAUCCAGAGUGAAGUGCACCUCUUGCCGAGUGAAGGGGGGGAAGCUUGGAAGAGGAGGGAAGGGACUGCUCCGUUGUUUCGUGAUUCGGAGUGAAGUGCACCUCUUACCGAGUGAAGGGGGGGAUGCUUCGUGAUCUCCCACCCCCUAGUGACAAUAGCAUAAGCCGUUGCAUAUGAGAUGAU
rnacentral:lncRNA from 1 species